UACGUAGGUGGCGAGCGUUGUCCGGAUUUACUGGGCGUAAAGGGAGCGUAGGCGGAUUUUUAAGUGAGAUGUGAAAUACUCGGGCUCAACUUGAGUGCUGCAUUUCAAACUGGAAGUCUAGAGUGCAGGAGAGGAGAACGGAAUUCCUAGUGUAGCGGUGAAAUGCGUAGAGAUUAGGAAGAACACCAGUGGCGAAGGCGAUUCUCUGGACUGUAACUGACGCUGAGGCUCGAAAGCGUGGGGAGCAAACAGG
rnacentral:rRNA from 1 species